rnacentral:tRNA from 1 species
GCCCGGCGGGGCUGCCGGUGCGGGCGGCCUGGCUGCGGGCCGUGCGGCGGGCUCAGCUGCGCCUCGCCCGCGGGCUGGGCGUCCCGUGCCCGGUGC